UGAAAUAAUGUCAUUGUUGAUGAAAUAGUGGUGUCUGGUUGUGUAUUGAAUUUUUAUGUGCAAAUGCAUAGUUUUCAUAUGAAGAAACAUUGGUUUUCUAUGUUGUUAAUGGCUUGAUGUCCUUCAGUAGCUCUCUUAGGUGAACUCAUGACAGUCAUCAUGUAGUCACUCACGAGGUCAGCUAAAUGAAAGGGAAAGAUUCUGCAGCUUCAGUUAUGUUCCUCCCACGCCCCCUUCUCCUGGGAUUUGCUAUUGUUUUUUCUGAUCUGCUUACCUGCCUAAUUCCAAAUGUUAAUGUAUGUAGGAGUUUGGUUUAUGAAAAAGAUGACCUUUUAAAUCAGUAAUAGAGAGAUGGAUAAUUUAACACAUGCUGCUAAAUCUAUACUUUACCCCUUAUAUCAGGAUAAUUUCAAGGGAUCAAAGAUUUAAAUAUUUUUUUAAAAGAUAGUAAAAGAAAUCAUAGAGGAUCAAGAAUCAAUUCGUUUUUUAAAGAUUACCUAAUUGACCUUAAAAAUUUCCCUCUCCUUUCCCACAAAUAUGUGGCUAAAUAUA
rnacentral:lncRNA from 1 species